rnacentral:rRNA from 1 species
CCUACGGGAGGCAGCAGUAAGGAAUAUUGGUCAAUGGACGAAAGUCUGAACCAGCCAUGCCGCGUGAAGGAUGACGGCCCUCUGGGUUGUAAACUUCUUUUAUAUGGGACGAAAAAAGGGAAUUCUUUCUCACUUGACGGUACCAUAGGAAUAAGCACCGGCUAACUCCGUGCCAGCAGCCGCGGUAAUACGGAGGGUGCAAGCGUUAUCCGGAUUCACUGGGUUUAAAGGGUGCGUAGGUGGGUAGGUAAGUCAGUGGUGAAAUCUCCGAGCUUAACUCGGAAACUGCCAUUGAUACUAUCUAUCUUGAAUAUUUUGGAGGUGAGCGGAAUAUGUCAUGUAGCGGUGAAAUGCUUAGAUAUGACAUAGAACACCAAUUGCGAAGGCAGCUCACUACGAAAUUAUUGACACUGAGGCACGAAGGCGUGGGGAUCAAACAGGAUUAGAUACCCUGGUAGUCCACGCCCUAAACGAUGGAUACUCGACAUCAGCGAUACACUGUUGGUGUCUGAGCGAAAGCAUUAAGUAUCCCACCUGGGAAGUACGACCGCAAGGUUGAAACUUAAANGAAUUGACGG